GAUGAACGCUGGCGGCGCAUUUAAGACAUGCAAGUCGAACGAAGAUGAACGCUUAACAAAUCAACUAGUUUACUAGAAGAAGAGUUAUUGUUAAUUUUAGUGGCGGACGGGUGAGUAACACGCAGGCAAUCUGCCUUUCAGUGAGGAAUAACUAAAAGAAAUUUUAGCUAAUACCUCAUAAGACCACGCUAUGGCAUCAUAGAGAGGUCAAAGGAGUAAUCCGCUGAAAGAUGAGCCUACGUCUGAUUAGUUAGUUGGCGUGAUAACGGCACACCAAGACGAUGAUCAGUAGCCGAGCUGAGAGGCUGGCCGGCCACAUUGGGACUGAGAUACGGCCCAGACUCCUACGGGAGGCAGCAGUUGGGAAUAUUGGACAAUGGACGAAAGUCUGAUCCAGUGACGCCGCGUGAAGGAAGAAGGUCUUCGGAUUGUAAACUUAUUUUGUCAGGGAAGAAAAAAAUGACAAUACCUGAAGAAAAAGGACCGGCAAACUACGUGCCAGCAGCCGCGGUAAUACGUAGGGUCCAAGCGUUAUCCGGAUUUACUGGGUGUAAAGGGCGAGUAGACGGCGUUGCAAGUCAGAUGUGAAAACUUGAGGCUCAACCUCAAGACUGCAUCUGAAACUGUGAUGCUAGAGUGCAGGAGAGGAAAGUGGAAUUCCUAGUGUAGCGGUGAAAUGCGUAGAUAUUAGGAGGAACACCAGUGGCGAAGGCGACUUUCUGGACUGUAACUGACGUUGAGGCGCGAAAGUGUGGGGAGCAAACAGGAUUAGAUACCCUGGUAGUCCACACUGUAAACGAUGGGAUACUAGGUGUAGGCACUAACGUGUCUGUGCCGGCGCUAACGCAAUAAGUAUCCCACCUGGGGAGUACGGCGCAAGGUUGAAACUCAAAGAAAUUGACGGGGGCCCGCACAAGCAGUGGAGUAUGUGGUUUAAUUCGACGCACGCGAAGAACCUUUACCAGACUUGACAUACACUG
rnacentral:rRNA from 1 species